rnacentral:ncRNA from 1 species
UGCAAACCUUUGAAGUGGAGAUCAAGCUGAUGGUGCACGCACAGAGAGCCGGCGUUGCUGAGAGUCCGGCCGAACGCAAGUCAGUAAAUGGACCACUGAGGGUUCCCCCGAAAGCACCGCAAGUACGGGGAAACGUGUUGGCAUACGUCAGUUGUCGCCGGGGUGUUGGCCCCGGGCUAAGCGUGAUCAGAAACUGCCAAAUGACACAAUACCUAGGCGCAGUCUCAUGAUCAAACUAAGGUGGCACCGCGGGAAACCGUCCUUAAC